AAACGUAGAGAGGAAGCAGAGAACGAAGCUGGAUAAAAAGAGGGAGAAAAAGGAAGGAAAAAAAAGAAGAAGAAAAGAAAGGAAAUGAAAGAGGUUGAUGAUUUUUGUAAGUUUUGGUUCUUCAUUUCUUCAACUUAUCCUUAUUUUAAAGAGUUAAGUUAAUUAAAUUUCUAGGGUUUAUGAACCAUUCAUUUAUAUUCGAAGUUUAGCAAGAAUUAGAGAUUAUUAUUAUAUUUUUUAGGUAUUAAGCAAGAAUAUAUCAAAGAAAUAUUUGAAUAUUGAAAUUGAAGAAAGUUGAAUUUUGAAAUGGGGUUGUAAUUUAGAGCUUGAAUCGUUGAUAUGUUGUGUGUAUAUGAUAUAAAACACCUUAUUUGUUAUUUAUAAUAGUAAGAUAUGAAGUUAAGGUUAGAUUUUGGUAUUUAUAAGCAAUUUUCAUGCAAAAUUCAUGUGCAGGAGUUAAUUCUGAAAAUCUGCCCAGUAUAGUGCUAAUUCUCAAAGGUUCUGCUGCCGGAUUUCAAUAUUAUGGGGUUUUAGUGCUGUUUUUGUCAAAACUCUUGUUUUCAGAUUUUUAAAGGCUUGAAUGAAGUUAUAUUACAAGUGUUGAAGUUUAUGUAUUGGAAUAAAUUAUGUAUAGGGCUUAUAUAUGUAUAAGUUAUUGAUUUUAAGGAAGUGUGAGUAAUUUAAUGGAAUUGAUAAUGAAUGGUGAUUAGUUGAUAAAUCAUUAGUGAGGAGAAAAGAUGGAAAAUUGGAGAUGUAAGAGUAAUAUAGAAAUUGAGAAGUUGAGAGGUAGAAUUGUAUUAAUUUAAUUAUCUAAUUUUAAUUUGAGAAAGUAUACCGUUAUUUCAGGUAAGAAACAUGAAAGCUUGGAAUGGCUCGUUGCCAGAUUUCUAUCCAUGGAUCUGUGAAUGGAAAAAUAUAAAUAUUUUUAAAAUAUUUAUGAAUUAAGUAUAUUAUUAAAGUAUGUGCAAUUAUGUGUUCGAAUUAUAUGGUUAUUAUGGAAAUAUCUUUUAUUAUGAUACAUGUGGACUUUCAAAGAUUGCAUACGGUACAUUGUGAAUUAUGUGAUUUUGAGAUCGACUAGAAAAGUACCCUGAUUAUAUAUUUUUUCUAGUUUACUGAGGAGCAUUGGUCGUGUUCUAUACUACACUGAGGGGUUGACUGGGGAUGAAGGGGUCGUGAUCGUGUACAUAUAGUUCACUGAGGGGCCUUGGCCCUAUUCUAGCAUUGAUUACUAGAAUUGAUUACCAGAGGUCAUGAGACUCGCUUUCGUUCAUGGAGGGGGCCAAGCACGAGCGGCAGAUUACAGAUUUUAGUCAGAGGGUACAUUUUUGGUGGAUCACAUGUGAUGUGAUGAGAUGAUGGUAUAGAUAUCAACUGAUGGCUAUAUUGUGAUUAUGAGAUGAUAUUUAUAGUGUUAUGAGAAUGUCUCACUUUUUGUCUAUAAUUGUACGAGGCUAUUAUGUGAAAUAUUAAAUGAUAUGAGCUUGAUGUUUGAUAAAAAUGUUUAAAGGAGAAAGUAUGAUUAUUUUUGAAUUUUUUCACUCACUAAGCUAUCAACUUAUUUUUUUCCAUGAUUUUUCUCACUAGUAGCAUUGGUCCUUGAUAGCUUGAGAAGCCUAGUGAUUUUAGAGUUAGAGCCACACGAUAUAUUGAAUAAUAUGAGUCAAUUUGAUAAACCACGAAGUAAAUUUUUG
rnacentral:lncRNA from 1 species